rnacentral:rRNA from 1 species
UACGGAAGGCAGCAGUGGGGAAUAUUGCACAAUGGGCGGAAGCCUGAUGCAGCGACGCCGCGUGGGGGAUGACGGCCUUCGGGUUGUAAACUCCUUUCGACAGGGACGAAGCGCAAGUGACGGUACCUGUAUAAGAAGCACCGGCUAACUACGUGCCAGCAGCCGCGGUAAUACGUAGGGUGCGAGCGUUGUCCGGAAUUACUGGGCGUAAAGAGCUCGUAGGUGGUUUGUCGCGUCGUCUGUGAAAUUCCGGGGCUUACUCCGGGCGUGCAGGCGAUACGGGCAUAACUUGAGUGCUGUAGGGGAGACUGGAAUUCCUGGUGUAGCGGUGAAAUGCGCAGAUAUCAGGAGGAACACCGAUGGCGAAGGCAGGUCUCUGGGCAGUUACUGACGCUGAGGAGCGAAAGCAUGGGUAGCGAACAGGGAUUAGAUACCCGU